UUGUCGUCAGCUCGUGUCGUGAGAUGUUGGGUUAAGUCCCGCAACGAGCGCAACCCCUAUUGUUAGUUGCCAUCAUUCAGUUGGGCACUCUAGCGAGACUGCCGGUAAUAAACCGGAGGAAGGUGGGGAUGACGUCAAAUCAUCAUGCCCCUUAUGGCCUGGGCUACACACGUGCUACAAUGGUUGGUACAACGAGUUGCGAGUCGGUGACGGCGAGCUAAUCUCUUAAAGCCAAUCUCAGUUCGGAUUGUAGGCUGCAACUCGCCUACAUGAAGUCGGAAUCGCUAGUAAUCGCGGAUCAGCACGCCGCGGUGAAUACGUUCCCGGGCCUU
rnacentral:rRNA from 1 species